rnacentral:rRNA from 1 species
AACGAACGCUGGCGGCGUGCCUAACACAUGCAAGUCGAGCGGGAAAGUUCCCUUCGGGAGCGAGUACAGCGGCGCACGGGUGGAGUAACACGUAGGUAACCUACCUUGGAGACCGGGAUAACCUGCCGAAAGGCGGGCUAAUACCGGAUGAGACCACGAGGGCUGCGGCCCUUGAGGAAAAGAUGGCCUCUACUUGUAAGCUAUCACUCCGGGAUGGGCCUGCGCGCCAUUAGCUAGUUGGG